GGAAUGUUGGCAGAGUGGUUUAAUGCAACUGUCCCGAAAGCAGUCGCACUGUGAAGUGCCGGAGGUUCGAAUCCUUCACAUUCCGC
rnacentral:tRNA from 4 species